AACGAACGCUGGCGGCACGUUUUAAGCAUGCAAGUCGAAUGGCAGCAGGGGCAACUCUGUGAGAAUGGCGAACGGGUGAGUAACACGUAGGUGAUCUGCCUUGAGGAUGGGGAUAGCCUGUGGAAACACAGGGUAAUACCGAAUGAGCUGACGAGACUUGGGUUUUGUUAGUAAAGGUGCUACGGCACCGCCUUGAGAGGAGCCUGCGGCUGAUUAGCUAGUUGGUGGGGUAAGAGCUUACCAAGGCGACGAUCAGUAGCCGGCCUGAGAGGGUGUACGGCCACACUGGAACUGAGACACGGUCCAGACUCCUACGGGAGGCAGCAGCUAAGAAUCUUCCGCAAUGGGCGAAAGCCUGACGGAGCGAUGCCGCGUGAUCGAUGAAGGUCGAGAGAUUGUAAAGAUCUUUUCUACAUGAGGAAUAAGUCUGGGAGGGAAUGCCCGGAUGACGACGUUAGUGUAGGAAUAAGCCCCGGCUAAUUACGUGCCAGCCGCCGCAGUAA
rnacentral:rRNA from 1 species